rfam:Ovis aries breed Texel chromosome 15, whole genome shotgun sequence.
GGGAAACUGGUAGAGGGGCCAGCCCCAGGCCCCAACUACAAUUGGGGCA